rnacentral:rRNA from 1 species
GACGAACCGUGCGAACGUUGUUCGGAAUCACUGGGCUUAAAGGGCGCGUAGGCGGGUCAUCAAGUCCGGGGUGAAAGCCCCCAGCUUAACUGGGGAAGGGCCCUGGAUACUGAUGGUCUGGAGGGGGGUAGGGGCAGUGGGAACUUCCGGUGGAGCGGUGAAAUGCGUUGAUAUCGGAAGGAACGCCGGUGGCGAAAGCGCACUGCUGGACCUUUUCUGACGCUGAGGCGCGAAAGCCAGGGGAGCAAACGGG